rnacentral:misc_RNA from 1 species
GAUGAGGAACGUAGCAAAAUGCGAUACGUAAUGUGAAUUGCAGAAUUCAGUGAAUCAUCGAGUCUUUGAACGCACAUUGCGCCCCCUGGUAUUCCGGGGGGCAUGCCUGUCCGAGCGUCAUUGCUGCCCUCAAGCACGGCUUGUGUGUUGGGCCUCCGUCCUCCUCCCGGGGGACGGGCCCGAAAGGCAGCGGCGGCACCGCGUGCGGUCCUCGAGCGUAUGGGGCUUCGUCACCCGCUCUUGUAGGCCCGGCCGGCGCUUGCCGACACAUCAAUCUUUUUUCCAGGUUGACCUCGGAUCAGGUAGGGAUACCCGCUGAACUUAAGCAUAUCAAUAAGCGGAGGA